GAUGAACGCUGGCGGCGUGCCUAAUACAUGCAAGUCGAACGAAACUUCUUUAUCACCGAGUGCUUGCACUCACCGAUAAAGAGUUGAGUGGCGAACGGGUGAGUAACACGUGGGCAACCUGUCCAAAAGAGGGGGAUAACACUUGGAAACAGGUGCUAAUACCGCAUAACCAUAGUUACCGCAUGGUAACUAUGUAAAAGGUGGCUAUACUACCGCUUUUGGAUGGGCCCGCGGCGCAUUAGCUAGUUGGUAGGGUAAAGGCUUACCAAGGCAAUGAUGCGUAGCCGAAUUGAGAGGUUGAUCGGCCACAUUGGGACUGAGACACGGCCCAAACUCCUACGGGAGGCAGCAGUAGGGAAUCUUCCACAAUGGGCGAAAGCCUGAUGGAGCAACGCCGCGUGGGUGAAGAAGGUCUUCGGAUCGUAAAACCCUGUUGUUAGAGAAGAAAGUGCGUGAGAGUAACUGUUCACGUUUCGACGGUAUCUAACCGGAAAGCCACGGCUAACUACGUG
rnacentral:rRNA from 1 species